GAUGAAGAACGCAGCGAAAUGCGAUAAGUAGUGUGAAUUGCAGAAUUCAGUGAAUCAUCGAAUCUUUGAACGCACAUUGCGCCCUUUGGUAUUCCUUAGGGCAUGCCUGUUCGAGCGUCAUUUAAACCUUCAAGCUCAGCUUGGUGUUGGGUGACUGUCCGCUUCACCGCGGACUCGCCUCAAAAUUAUUGGCGGCCGGUACAUUGGCUCUCGAGCGCAGCAGAAACGCGUAACUCGAGGUCCUCGUGCUGGCUCCCAGAAGCUAUCUUCACAAUUUUGACCUCGGAUCAGGUAGGGAUACCCGCUGAACUUAAGCAUAUCAAAAGCGGAGGA
rnacentral:misc_RNA from 1 species